rnacentral:rRNA from 1 species
AAAAACAUGGCUCCUUGAUAUAUAUAAAUAAGGAGUCGGACCUGCCCAGUGAAUUUUUUUAACGGCCGCGGUACUCUGACCGUGCAAAGGUAGCAUAAUCAUUUGCCUUAUAAUUGAAGGCUAGUAUGAAUGGUUUGACAAGAAUAUGACUGUCUCUUUAUGAUUUUACAGAAUUUUAUUUUUAGGUGAAGAAGCCUAAUUUUUAUUAAAAGACAAGAAGACCCUAUCGAGCUUAAAAGGAUUUAAUAGAACUUAAAUUAAUGGAGUUAAAAAAUUAUCUAUUAUGCAUUUUGGUUGGGGCGACUGAGGAACAUAAAAAGCUUCCUUUUAUAAGUUAUUCAUUCUAGAAUUGAUCCAAAAGUUUUGAUUAAAGGAAUUAGUUACCGUAGGGAUAACAGCAUUAUCUUUUUUAAGAGCUCAUAUCGAAAAAAAGGUUUGUGACCUCGAUGUUGGACCAGAAUAUCCUAAAGGUGCAGCAGCCUUUAAGGGUUGGUCUGUUCGACCAUUAAAAUUCUACCUGA